AGGGGCGUAGUUCAAUGGUAGAACAGUGGUCUCCAAAACCAUCGAUGCGGGUUCGAUUCCUGCCGCCCCUG
rnacentral:tRNA from 1 species